GUAAAGCUCACUUUUUCAGUUCAUUCCCCGUCCACGAAUCCCUCGAAUUCUUCUUCAUUGUCCGAAUUGAACAGUUGGGCGAGUACGGCAUCCAACAUGCCCGGCUCCCUCUCGUCAUUAUCCGAGUCAGUGUUGCUGCUGUUGCCUGGCAGUUCAGUGAUUAUUCCUGUCUUCGUGAAAGCUUGGACCACAUUUGAGACUGAUAUAUCAGCCCAGGCAUCCACGAUCCAUUGGCAGAUAGUGGCGUAAGUCGCCCGGCGCCGACCCAAUUUCAAUACAUAUUCAUGCCUCCACCGGUGAAAUGCUCCUUUAAGGAAUAGUA